rnacentral:rRNA from 1 species
CAUACCUAUUCGAAGGGAUAGGGUCGGUUUGGCCGGAUUUCACACAGGUGUUGCAUGGCUGUCGUCAGCUCGUGUCGUGAGAUGUUGGGUUAAGUCCCGCAACGAGCGCAACCCUCAUCCUUAGUUACCAUCAGGUUAUGCUGGGGACUUUAAGGAAACUGCCAGUGAUAAACUGGAGGAAGGUGGGGAUGAUGUCAAGUCAUCAUGGCCCUUAUGGAGUGGGCUACACACGUGCUACAAUGGUGAUUACAAUGGGUUGCAAGGUCGCAAGGCUGAGCUAAUCCUAAAAAAUCGUCUCAGUUCGGAUUGUUCUCUGCAACUCGAGAGCAUGAAGUUGGAAUCGCUAGUAAUCGUGGAUCAGCAUGCCACGGUGAAUACGUUCUCGGGUCUUGUACACACUGCCCGUCACGCCAUGGGAAUUGGUUUCACUCGAAGCU